ACAAUACGAGGAAAGAACCAACAGGGAUUGCCUUAGUAACUGCGAGUGAAGCGGCAAAAGCUCAGAUUUGAAACCUGCCGUCUUUGGCGGCCGGAUUGUAAUCUGGAGAGACCACUUCUGGUGGGCAGCCGGUCCAAGUUCUUUGGAACAAGGCAUCAGAGAGGGUGAGAAUCCCGUAUCUGGCCGGUUCGUCCCACCUUGUGAAGGGUCUUCGACGAGUCGAGUUGUUUGGGAAUGCAGCUCAAAAUGGGUGGUAAAUUUCAUCUAAAGCUAAAUACUGGCGAGAGACCGAUAGCGCACAAGUAGAGUGAUCGAAAGAUGAAAAGCACUUUGAAAAGAGAGUCAAAAAGUACGUGAAAUUGUUGAAAGGGAAGCGCUUGAGACCAGACUCGGGCCGAGGUGAUCAGCGGUGCUUCUGCGCCGUGCACUUGCCUCGACCCGGGCCAGCAUCGGUUGUGACGGCGGGAUAAAGGCUCGAGGAAUGUGGCUCCCCUCGGGGAGUGUUAUAGCCUCGGGUGCAAUGCCGCCUGCCGCGACCGAGGACCGCGCUUCGGCUAGGAUGCUGGCGUAAUGGUCUUCAGCGACCCGUCUUGAAACACGGACCAAGGAGUCUAACAUCUAUGCGAGUGUUCGGGUGUAAAACCCCUGCGCGUAAUGAAAGUGAACGGAGGUGGGAACCCCUCACGGGGUGCACCAUCGACCGAUCCUGAUGUCUUCGGAUGGAUUUGAGUAGGAGCAUAGCUGUUGGGACCCGAAAGAUGGUGAACUAUGCCUGAAUAGGGUGAAGCCAGAGGAAACUCUGGUGGAGGCUCGCAGCGGUUCUGACGUGCAAAUCGAUCGUCAAAUUUGGGUAUAGGGGCGAAAGACUAAUCGAACCUCUAUAGUGGUCCGAAC
rnacentral:rRNA from 1 species